UCCGGGUCCAGGUAAGGUUUCGGGCGAACCCGGUCAGGGCAGAAAUGCAGCAGCCGUAACCUAGUACCUUAAGCUGGACCCAUUUUU
rnacentral:SRP_RNA from 1 species